UGCCCCCAUGCAAGGGACUUAUCUCUGGUC
rnacentral:piRNA from 1 species